UUAGGAAUCUUCCACAAUGGGCGAAAGCCUGAUGGAGCGACGCCGCGUGAGGGAUGAAGGCCUUAGGGUUGUAAACCUCUAAAAGAGGGACGAUAAUGACGGUACCUCUUGAAUAGCACCGGCUAACUCCGUGCCAGCAGCCGCGGUAAUACGGAGGGUGCAAGCGUUAUCCGGAAUCACUGGGCGUAAAGGGCGCGUAGGCGGUCUGUUAAGUCCGAUGUUAAAUCCCGGGGCUCAACCCCGGAUAAGCGUUGGAUACUGGCAGGCUAGACGGUUGGAGAGGCGAGUGGAAUUACCAGUGUAGCGGUGGAAUGCGUAGAUACUGGUAGGAACACCCAUUGCGAAGGCAGCUCGCUGGACAACAUGUGACGCUGAGGCGCGAAAGUGUGGGGAGCAAACC
rnacentral:rRNA from 1 species